rnacentral:tRNA from 1 species
GGCUUCGUAGCUCAGCUGGUAGAGCACUCGCUGCGUUGAGGCAUACUGUUUCUGUUGUUGGUUUGAAUCCAGCCGAAGCCC